rnacentral:misc_RNA from 1 species
GAAAUGCGAUAAGUAAUGUGAAUUGCAGAAUUCAGUGAAUCAUCGAAUCUUUGAACGCACAUUGCGCCCCCUGGUAUUCCGGGGGGCAUGCCUGUCCGAGCGUCAUUACACCAAUCAAGCCUGGCUUGGUAUUGGGCGUCGCGGGUCUGACCCGCGCGCCUUAAAGUCUCACCGGCUGAGCGGCGUCGUCUCUAAGCGUUGUGGAAACUAUUCGCGGAGAGGAGGCGCGGCGCGGCCGUUAAACACCCCAUCAAAGGUUGACCUCGGAUCAGGUAGGGAUACCCGCUGAACUUAA